rnacentral:rRNA from 1 species
AGCGAACGCUGGCGGUAGGCCUAACACAUGCAAGUCGAUCGGCAGCACAGUAAGAGCUUGCUCUUACGGGUGGCGAGUGGCGGACGGGUGAGGAAUACAUCGGAAUCUACUUUUUCGUGGGGGAUAACGUAGGGAAACUUACGCUAAUACCGCAUACGACCUACGGGUGAAAGCAGGGGAUCUUCGGACCUUGCGCGAUUGAAUGAGCCGAUGUCGGAUUAGCUAGUUGGCGGGGUAAAGGCCCACCAAGGCGACGAUCCGUAGCUGGUCUGAGAGGAUGAUCAGCCACACUGGAACUGAGACACGGUCCAGACUCCUACGGGAGGCAGCAGUGGGGAAUAUUGGACAAUGGGCGCAAGCCUGAUCCAGCCAUACCGCGUGGGUGAAGAAGGCCUUCGGGUUGUAAAGCCCUUUUGUUGUGAAAGAAAAGCAGCAGGUUAAUACCCCGCUGUUCUGACGGUACCCAAAGAAUAAGCACCGGCUAACUUCGUG